AGGAGGCCGCAACGCUGCCUGGGAGUGAUGAGCCCUGUCCUCUCACAGUGAACCGGUCUCUUUC
rnacentral:pre_miRNA from 1 species